rnacentral:rRNA from 1 species
CCCUUAGAUGUCCUGGGCCGCACGCGCGUUACACUGAUGCAUUCAACGAGCUUAUAACCUUGGCCGAGAGGCCUGGGCAAUCUUGUUAACGUGCAUCGUGAUAGGGAUAGAUUAUUGAAAUUAUUAAUCUUGAACGAGGAAUUCCUAGUAAACGCAGAUCAUCAAUCUGCAUUGAUUACGUCCCUGCCCUUUGUACACACCGCCCGUCGCACCUACCGAUUGGAUGGUCCGGUGAAGCCUCGGGAUUGUGGUUCUUGCCGCUUUAUUGUGGCGUGACCGCGAGAACUUGUCUAAACCUUAUCAUCUAGAGGAAGGUCAAGUCGUAACA